rnacentral:lncRNA from 1 species
CCUACUCCUGGCCCUCCUGGCAAGGCAGGUGCAAAGUGCCAGAGCUCGACACAGAGGUACGUCCUGACUCAGCAGUGCAGUAGAAACGGCUCCUGGAAAGGCAGCAAUGUCAGUGAUGUGCACAGAGUUUGCUGGGGGAGGGGAGCAUGUGCUGUGUCACUCCACUGACAUCCAGCAACAAGCAACAGAGAGAGCCCAGAGGUGGGGGGAGUUCAUAAUGGAGUGAGGGGAGAAAUGGCAGAAUGAGGCUGGGGAAGCACAGCAGGACCUCGUCCCUCUUUGCCCAUCCCCUGGCCAGCCCUGUCUCUGUCUCCAGACUCCAGGAGAUCUGGGGAGCCCUUCUCUGAAGCUGUGUACGAGGAGAUUGAGUACAGCCCAAUGAGGGAGAAGAAAAUGAGAUUCAGUUUCUCAGACAUCCCUGUUCUGCCUGGUGAUUCCCCAGUGGAAGGCUAUGAUGAUGCCAGGGAGGUUUCUGACCCUGGAGAGCAUCCUGUCCCAGGGCAGGGAGACUGGCAAGUGCCUAGGGCACAGGAGGACGGAGAGGGACCCAGGGAUGCUGCCAGAGGUGAGAGGGAAAUGCAGUACUGCAGCUUGCUGGGUGCCAUCCCUGGGGCAGUAAUGAGAGCCUCACCUCAUGGCUUCUGGAACUUUCCUCGAGAGGCUUCCAUGGGGAGAAAGGGACAGGGAGAGCAGGCUGAAUGUUUCAUAGAGGAGAAGAGUGAUGGACCACCCAGGAGGAGCACCCCAUGGGGCAAACAGUUGUCUUUGCUGCUUGCAGGAGAGAAUCGGCAUUCCUGGAGAAGUGCCGGAGCCCCUGAAGUUGAUGGAGACCCCUCACCUCUGUCCCUUGGGAGCACGGGCUAUGAUGAUGCUGAUGAGAUGUCUCUGUCAUAACCCCAUUGGACACAAAGGCUGUGACACCAGAGCGCUAGGAUGCCUGAGCUCUGGGACAAGAGACUCUGUCCCUGCCAUGAAGUUGGGUGUAGACACAAAGGAGAGGUCAGUGCCACUGAGAGAGCCGUGAGUGCCAGCAGCUCUUUUCACAGGGGCAUCAGAAACAGCCAUGCAAUUCCUCCAAGUUUUAUUCCUCUGCUUUUAUGUUGUGCAUUGCUACUGGUUCCUAUUAAAACACUGUGAGAGCUUUGACCCAGAGCUUUUGCUUGCCCGCCCAUAUUUUGGGACAUCUCUCUGAGGCUGACUGGAUAAGCAGAGCACAAGGGCACAGUGUUGGGCUGGGGCACUUCUUGGGGACAGUGGGCUUGGGCUCAGGGCCAUGGUGCCUGGGAA